GACGAACGCUGGCGGCGUGCUUAACACAUGCAAGUCGAACGGUGAAGGUGGAGCUUGCUCCGCCGGAUCAGUGGCGAACGGGUGAGUAACACGUGGGCAACCUGCCCCUGACUUCGGGAUAACUCCUCGAAAGAGGUGCUAAUACCGGAUACGAAUCCUGCAGGCAUCUGCGGGAUUGGAAAGUUUUUCGGUCAGGGAUGGGCCCGCGGCCUAUCAGCUUGUUGGUGAGGUAGUGGCUCACCAAGGCGACGACGGGUAGCCGGCCUGAGAGGGCGACCGGCCACACUGGGACUGAGACACGGCCCAGACUCCUACGGGAGGCAGCAGUGGGAAUAUUGCGCAAUGGGCGAAAGCCUGACGCAGCAACGCCGCGUGAGGGAUGACGGCCUUCGGGUUGUAAACCUCUUUCAGCAGGGAAGAAGCGAAAGUGACGGUACCUGCAGAAGAAGCACCGGCUAACUACGUGCCAGCAGCCGCAGUAA
rnacentral:rRNA from 1 species